rnacentral:lncRNA from 1 species
UGUUUCACAAUAUCAUUUAGCUCUUGGAAAUAUAAGGCAUUCUACUAUAAAGUAGUUGUUUUUGUAACAGAUACAAGCUAAAAGGUAUGGGUUUUAGGAUGAUUUAGCUCAUCAAAGAUUUGCUUUUCAAAUAAUGUUUAAUAAGAGAUUGCACAGUUUUAUUUAUGUCAACCCUAAUGCAUUAAAAGAGUUAGUAAUUUACUUUUGUAGGAAAAAGUUAAGGCCAUUUCAAAACUCAUUUUAUAUACAAGUUGCAACAUAAGGAGGAUAAUCUGUUUUUUAAGACCAGAAACUACGAGAGGUGAAAAUUACAUUUUUCUUGAUAAAUUUUUUAAUGAACUAGUCAUUAUAGUGAUGAAAUAAUGUGGCAACAUGUUGACUUGUUAUAGUUAAAUGUGGAACAUUAGACUGUCAGUUAGCUUUGAAAAGCAUACACUUAUUUUAUACAGCAGACUCUGAAAUAAGAAUAGAAAAGCCUUAAUUUGCGUCACAGUAGCAAAAUAACUGUUGCA